CUUUGAGCUUUGAAGAGCAAGGCAUGCACGUGCACCUUUCUGCACACAUCAUCUCAAGGGCCAUUUGAAUAUCUGCAUAUUGGAAUAUAACAGCUAUAUAUGUCCUGGAGAGGGGACAUCAUCAAGUGGUAUUAUUAUUUUCCUUGUAAUUAUGAGAGAUAUAAGGGGGCAAAAAAAGAAAAAAGAUAGAUGUGAUAAUACAGAAAAACAAAAUUCAAAGCUGCCUUUUUAAAGUUUAAACUAUUUCGUUUGUUCAAUUUUUUAUUGUAACAAGUUGACAUCCAUUCCACCCUUCUUUCUCAUUGAGAUACAUAUGGCAUCUUUCUUAUCUUUCAAAAUAAUCAUAUAUAUUUCAAGAAAAUAUUAAUCUAAAUUGCAUGUUCAAAAUGACCACUCACCUGCUUAAUGUCCUAAUAUAUUUUGGCCAAAUAAAGUACAAUUUGACCUAAUUACCAAGAAAAGAAAAGAAGGAAAAAAAACAAAAAAAGGUAAGAUUUGAUCUUUGUAAAUGCCCACGAGGCAUCAAGUUGUAAUAUUUUCAUUUAGAAUUAGUAACACGUCCUUACAAACAACUCAAAAUACAAAAACCAACCCAAUAGCAAACUCGAAAAGCAUUCUAUAUCGCUAAUGGGUUCCCAUCCAAACCAGUCCAUGUCAAGUAUGUGUAACAAAUAACCCCCAAACUCCUUAAAGCAGGAGGGUUCCAACCAAACUAAACAUACACAGGAAGCCCAAAGACCAGAAAAACAGUGAGCCGAGGAAACACAAUAAAUGUAGCUCACUAGAAGCUAAGAAGCCAAUACAAGGAGAAAAUACAUAGCAAUUAAACAAGGAUUAUCAGUGCCAAAGCAGAACCCAGCAAUCAGACAAGGUACCUCUAGCUUGAAAAGGAGAUAGCACCACUAAGAGAACGAGCCUGUGCACUCAAAUUCUUCCUAAUGCUCAGCCAAGCAUCACAUCACUCCCCCUUCUCCUCCACCAGUUUCACAUUACCCAGUCUCUGAAUUUUCCCAGCGAUAGAAAGGCUUCUCCUCCAUAAAACCCCAAUCCUCAAACAUGAUAAACUCCAAAGAACAUAGAAGAGGAGGGGGAAAGAACUGGCACAAAGGACAGUGAACAAACCCUAGAAAAUCUUAGGGCAUUAUACCCUUUGCAUUUGAUCAAAUAACAAAACACAGCUACACGUUCGGAAGCUCCUCGCCUCUAUCUGCUAAAAAGCUGCUACUCUGCAGGAUGAGCCUCUACACCAUGGAACGAUGUACGGGGUCACA
rnacentral:lncRNA from 1 species